CUCAACAGCUCGAGGACAUCCUGUUCUGACAGCACUUUAUGAACAGGACACCUGAGGCCUGGUGAGCUGCAGUUUCCUGCCCAGGACCACAUGGCUAGCAGGAUAGGGCUGUGCUCUCAGCAACCGGGCUCCCUGGAACCCCAAUUCACGGUGUGAUAUUGCCUUUCCAAACAAGAGAACAAUUUCCUUGCUUGUCUGCAGCGAGCCUUCUGAGCCUGGUGACCAGGGCCCACUACUCUACUGUGCUGUGAUCCAUGAUCAGGCCACAAGGAGG
rnacentral:lncRNA from 1 species